UACGUAGGUGGCAAGCGUUAUCCGGAAUUAUUGGGCGUAAAGCGCGCGUAGGCGGUUUCUUAAGUCUGAUGUGAAAGCCCCCGGCUCAACCGGGGAGGGUCAUUGGAAACUGGGGGACUUGAGUGCAGAAGAGGAGAGUGAAUUCCAUGUGUAGCGGUGAAAUGCGCAGAGAUAUGGAGGAACACCAGUGGCGAAGGCGGCUCUCUGGUCUGCAACUGACGCUGAUGUGCGAAAGCGUGGGGAUCAAACAGGAUUAGAUA
rnacentral:rRNA from 1 species